AUGGGCAACACGUGCGGCGUCACCUUUAGAUCCAAGUACUUCUCCAGCUUCCGCGGCGCGUCGCAGCGCCACGACUCGGGGUACGCGCCCGUCGCCGCUGCCGCCGCCGAUGCCGACUCCCCGCCGGGCAAGCGGCCCUCGCGCCCGGCGGCCGUUGCCGACGCGGCCGCCCCGCCCCCCGCCGCCGGCAUGCGCCGGGGCUCGCUCGCCCCCGCGGAGCUGACGGCCAACGUGCUCGGCCACCCCACCCCGAGCCUCCACGACCACUACCUGCUCGGGCGCAAGCUCGGGCAGGGGCAGUUCGGCACCACCUACCUCUGCACCGACCGCGCCACCGGGGCGGACUACGCCUGCAAGUCCAUCGGCAAGCGCAAGCUCAUCACCAAGGAGGACGUCGAGGAUGUGCGCCGCGAGAUCCAGAUCAUGCACCACCUCGCCGGUCACCGGAACGUCGUCGCCAUCAAGGGCGCCUACGAGGACCAGGUCUACGUCCACAUCGUCAUGGAGCUCUGUGGUGGCGGCGAGCUCUUCGACCGCAUCAUACAGCGGGGGCAUUACAGCGAGCGCAAGGCGGCCGAGCUCACGCGCAUCGUUGUAGGAGUUGUCGAGGCGUGCCACUCGCUUGGGGUCAUCCACAGGGAUCUCAAACCUGAAAACUUCUUGCUGGCCAACAAGGAUGACGACAUGUCGCUUAAGGCCAUCGAUUUCGGCCUCUCCGUGUUCUUUAAGCCUGGUCAAGUUUUCACUGAUGUUGUCGGAAGCCCUUACUAUGUAGCUCCAGAAGUGUUGCGCAAACGUUAUGGACCAGAAGCUGAUGUAUGGACAGCUGGUGUAAUUCUUUACAUACUACUAAGUGGUGUACCACCAUUUUGGGCAGAGACUCAGCAAGGAAUAUUUGAUGCAGUAUUGAAAGGCGUAAUUGAUUUUGAUAGUGAUCCCUGGCCUGUGAUUUCUGAUAGUGCAAAGGAUCUCAUAAUGAGAAUGUUGAAUCCUCGCCCCGCAGAGCGUCUAACAGCACAUGAAGUUCUAUGUCACCCUUGGAUUUGUGAUCAUGGAGUUGCUCCUGAUCGUCCGCUUGAUCCAGCUGUCCUUUCUCGCAUUAAGCAGUUCUCAGCAAUGAAUAAGUUAAAGAAGAUGGCUUUGCGAGUAAUUGCUGAGAGCCUUUCAGAGGAGGAGAUUGCAGGAUUAAAAGAAAUGUUUGAGGCAAUGGACACAGACAAUAGCGGUGCAAUUACAUACGAUGAGCUGAAAGAAGGCAUGCGAAAGUAUGGUUCAACACUAAAAGAUACUGAGAUUCGUGAUCUUAUGGAAGCGGCGGAUGUGGACAACAGUGGAACCAUUGAUUAUAUAGAAUUCAUUGCUGCUACAUUGCAUCUCAAUAAACUAGAGCGAGAGGAACAUCUUGUGGCAGCCUUUUCUUAUUUUGACAAGGAUGGUAGUGGUUACAUUACAGUGGACGAGCUCCAGCAAGCUUGCAAAGAGCAUAACAUGCCAGAUGCUUUUCUUGAUGACGUCAUAAUCGAAGCUGACCAGGAUAAUGACGGUCGCAUUGAUUACGGAGAGUUUGUUGCCAUGAUGACAAAGGGCAAUAUGGGGGUUGGGAGGAGAACAAUGAGAAACAGCCUGAAUAUAAGCAUGACUGAAUGA
rnacentral:rRNA from 1 species